rnacentral:rRNA from 1 species
UAACAGUUGGAAACGACUGCUAAUACCGCAUAAGCGCACAGUGCUGCAUAGCACAGUGUGAAAAACUCCGGUGGUAUGAGAUGGACCCUCGUCUGAUUAGGUAGUUGGUGAGGUAACGGCCCACCAAGCCGACGAUCAGUAGCCGACCUGAGAGGGUGACCGGCCACAUUGGGACUGUGACAUGGCCCAAACUCCUACGGGAGGCAGCAGUGGGGAAUAUUGGACAAUGGGGGAAACCCUGAUCCAGCGACGCCGCGUGAGUGAAGAAGUAUUUCGGUAUGUAAAGCUCUAUCAGCAGGGAAGAAAAUGACGGUACCUGACUAAGAAGCCCCGGCUAACUACGUGCCAGCAGCCGCGGUAAUACGUAGGGGGCAAGCGUUAUCCGGAUUUAC